UACGUAGGUCCCAAGCGUUAUCCGGAUUUAUUGGGUUUAAAGGGUGCGUAGGCGGGCUAUUAAGUCAGUGGUGAAAGCCCCAAGCUUAACUUGGGAACUGCCAUUGAUACUGAUGGUCUUGAGUACAUUUGAGGUGGGCGGAAUGUGUCAUGUAGCGGUGAAAUGCUUAGAUAUGACACAGAACACCGAUUGCGAAGGCAGCUCACUAAACUGUAACUGACGCUGAGGCACGAAAGCGUGGGGAGCAAACAGG
rnacentral:rRNA from 1 species